rnacentral:lncRNA from 1 species
CCAUUAAGCAUGUCAUAGACGAUUGACCAAUCCCUUUUUAGUAACCUAACCCUUGACUCGAUAUUAGGUCUAGCCUUUAACAUUGCAUUGGGUAAAGCCUUUUCUAACAUUUUUUCCAACUCGUUUAAGUAACCGGCUUUGAACCCCGUAUCAGCGUUAAAUGUUCCAACAUUGUGCAAGUCCACCAUGCAGGAAACCAAUGCUGCAUCUUCUUCUGGAACCUAUUUUCUUUUGGUUCCUCGAGAUGAUUGGGAA